AUACGGAGGAUGCGAGCGUUAUCCGGAUUCAUUGGGUUUAAAGGGAGCGUAGGUGGGAUAUUAAGUCAGCUGUGAAAGUUUGGGGCUCAACCUUAAAAUUGCAGUUGAUACUGGUUUCCUUGAGUACGGUAUAGGUGGGCGGAAUUCGUGGUGUAGCGGUGAAAUGCUUAGAUAUCACGAAGAACUCCGAUCGCGAAGGCAGCUCACCGGGCCGGAACUGACACUGAUGCUCGAAAGUGCGGGUAUCAAACAGGAUUAGAUACCCUGGUAGUCCGCACAGUAAACGAUGAAUACUCGCUGUUUGCGAUACACUGUAAGCGGCCAAGCGAAAGCGUUAAGUAUUCCACCUGGGGAGUACGCCGGCAACGGUGAAACUCAAAGGAAUUGACGGGG
rnacentral:rRNA from 1 species